AUUGAACGCUGGCGGCAGGCCUAACACAUGCAAGUCGAACGAGUGGCGGACGGGUGAGUAAUGUCUGGGCAACUGCCCGAUGGAGGGGGAGAACUACUGGAAACAGUAGCUAAUAACGCAUACCAUCGGAUGUGCCCAGAUGGGAUUAUCUAGUAGGUGGGGUAACGGCUCAACUAGGCGACGAUCCCUAGCUGGUCUGAGAGGAUGACCAGCCACACUGGAACUGAGACACGGUCCAGACUCCUACGGGAGGCAGCAGUGGGGAAUAUUGCACAAUGGGCGCAAGCCUGAUGCAGCCAUGCCGCGUGUAUGAAGAAGGCCUUCGGGUUGUAAAGUACUUUCAGCGAGGAGGCGUUACUCGCAGAAGAAGCACCGGCUAACUCCGUGCCAGCAGCCGCGGUAAUUC
rnacentral:rRNA from 1 species